UACGUAGGGUGCGAGCGUUAAUCGGAAUUACUGGGCGUAAAGCGUGCGCAGGCGGUUUGCUAAGACCGAUGUGAAAUCCCCCGGGCUUAACCUGGGAACUGCAUUGGUGACUGGCAGGCUAGAGUAUGGCAGAGGGGGGUAGAAUUCCACGUGUAGCAGUGAAAUGCGUAGAGAUGUGGAGGAAUACCGAUGGCGAAGGCAGCCCCCUGGGCCCAAUACUGACGCUCAUGCA
rnacentral:rRNA from 1 species